AGAGAAGCGAGACAGUGAUGUGGAGCGAAACUUAAAAAAAGUAAGUCUCAGUUCGGAUUGAAGGCUGAAAUUCGCCUUCAUGAAGCCGGAAUUGCUAGUAAUGGGCAGGUCAGCAUACUGCCGUGAAUACGUUCCCGGGUCUUGUACACACCGCCCGUCACACCAUGGGAGUCAGUAACGCCCGAAGCCGGUGACCCAACCAGUUCUGGAGGGAGCCGUCGAAGGUGGGACCGAUAACUGGGGGUGAAGUCGUAACAAGGUAAC
rnacentral:rRNA from 1 species